UGAAGCGAGUGGCGAACUGGUGAGUAACACGUGGGUAACUUGCCCAGAAGCAGGGGAUAACACUUGGAAACAGGUGCUAAUACCGUAUAACAACAAAAACCGCAUGGUUUUUGUUUAAAAGGUGGUUUCGGCUAUCACUUCUGGAUGGACCCGCGGCGUAUUAGUUAGUUGGUGAGGUAAAGGCCCACCAAGACAAUGAUACGUAGCCGACCUGAGAGGGUAAUCGGCCACAUUGGGACUGAGACACGGCCCAAACUCCUACGGGAGGCAGCAGUAGGGAAUCUUCCACAAUGGACGAAAGUCUGAUGGAGCAAUGCCGCGUGAGUGAAGAAGGGUUUCGGCUCGUAAAACUCUGUUGUUAAAGAAGAACACUCUUGAGAGUAACUGUUCAGG
rnacentral:rRNA from 1 species